rnacentral:lncRNA from 1 species
AAAUUUUUCCAAGGUGCAGGGAUCACACGCCCGUGUGGUCCAAGGGACACACCCGUGUGACCCUGGGACACGCUCGUGUUACAGGCCGUGUUCGACCCCAUGUAACUAUUUGACUUGUGUACACAGCCAAGCCACACGCUCGUGUGCUAGGCCGUGUAGCACACGUGGCUGAGACGAAUGCCUGUGUCUCUCCCUGUGUGCUUAAUUUUGAGCAUUCUUUUUUCUCGAAUUUAAGGUGCAUGGGACACAUGACCUAAC